rnacentral:rRNA from 1 species
GAUGAAUGCUGGCGGCGUGCCUAACACAUGCAAGUCGAGCGGUAACAGGAGUAGUUUACUACUUGCUGACGAGCGGCGGACGGCUGAGUAACGCGUGGGAACGUGCCCCAAAGUGAGGGAUAGGCUCCAGAAAUGGAGUCUAAUACCGCAUAUGAUCUUCGGAUUAAAGGAUUUAUCCGCUUUGGGAGCGGCCCGCGUUAGAUUAGGUAGUUGGUAGGGUAAUGGCCUACCAAGCCGACGAUCUAUAGCUGGUCUGAGAGGAUGAUCAGCCAGACUGGGACUGAGACACGGCCCAGACUCCUACGGGAGGCAGCAGUGAGGAAUCUUCCACAAUGGGCGAAAGCCUGAUGGAGCAACGCCGCGUGAAGGAUGAAGGCCCUCGGGUUGUAAACUUCUUUUAUAAGUGAAGAAUAUGACGGUAACUUAUGAAUAAGCACCGGCUAACUACGUGCCAGCCGCCGCAGUAAGAC